ensembl:lncRNA
GUUUGACCCUGAAUAGCCCCACGGUGAAAGCAUCCCCAUGUAGGUGUAUUGUUUGACCCUGAAUAGCCCCACGGUGAAAGCAUCCCCAUGUGGGUGUAUUGUUUGACCCUGAAUAGCCCCACGGUGAAAGCAUCCCCAUGUGGGUGUGUUGUUUGACCCUGAAUAGCCCCACGGUGAAAGUAUCCCCAUGUGGGUGUGUUGUUUGACCCUGAAUAGCCCCACGGUGAAAGUAUCCCCAUGUAGGUGUGUUGUUUGACCCUGAAUAGCCCCACGGUGAAAGCAUCCCCAUGUGGGUGUGUUGUUUGACCCUGAAUAGCCCCACGGUGAAAGCAUCCCCAUGUGGGUGUGUUGUUUGACCCUGAAUAGCCCCA